ACGGCUCAGUAACACGUAGUCAACCUAACUCGUGGACGUGGAUAACCUCGGGAAACUGAGAAUAAACCACGAUAGAUCAUAGUGCCUGGAAUGGCUUAUGGUCCAAACAGUUUACUGCCAUGGGAUGGGACUGCGGCCUAUCAGCUUGUUGGUGAGGUAAUGGCCCACCAAGGCGAUUACAGGUACGGGCUCUGAGAGGAGAAGCCCGGAGAUGGGUACUGAGACACGGACCCAGGCCCUAUGGGGCGCAGCAGGCGAGAAACCUUAGCAAUGUGCGAAAGCACGACUGGGUCAGUCCGAGUGAUUCCUGAUAAAGGAGUCUUUUGCUUGUCCUAAAAGCACAGGUGAAUAAGGGGUGGGCAAGUCUGGUGUCAGCCGCCGCGGUAAUACCAGCACCUCGAGUGGUCAGGACGUUUAUUGGGCCUAAAGCAUCCGUAGCCGGCUUUGCAAGUCUUCGGUUAAAUCCACCUGCUCAACAGAUGGGCCGCUGGAGAUACUACAGAGCUAGGGAGUGGGAGAGGCAGACGGUAUUCAGUGGGUAGGGGUAAAAUCCUCUGAUCCAUUGAGGACCACCAGUGGCGAAGGCGGUCUGCCAGAACACGUUCGACGGUGAGGGAUGAAAGCUGGGGGAGCAAACCGGAUUAGAUACCCGGGUAGUCCCAGCUGUAAACGAUGCAAACUCGGUGAUGCAUUGGCUUAUGGCCAAUGCAGUGCCGCAGGGAAGCCGUUAAGUUCGCCGCCUGGGAAGUACGGACGCAAGUCUGAAACUUAAAGGAAUUGGCGGGGGAG
rnacentral:rRNA from 1 species